rnacentral:lncRNA from 1 species
GGGAAAAAAACUGACCAGGCAACCGAAAAUUAACUCUACUUAAAACAAUUCAGAUGAUGCUGGUCAGACCACUGCAAGACCAAUUUCAAGGUGACUGUCAGAACUGACCCUGCCGUUUCUGCUUAUGGCCCCUUCCCUUCACCUAUACCCCUGUGAAACUGCCCUUUAAAAGCUCUUGCCCACUAGUUGCCAGUGGGAGGGGAGUCUGCCUUUGAACAUGAGUCCCCACCCCCCACCCUGGUUAACAGAGCAGGAAAUAAAGCAAACUUUCCACCAACCUUGCCUCUUUAAUGGCUUCUGAGCAGGGAGCAGAUGGACCUACUUAAGAGGGUGGGAGGUUUACCCCUGACCGGCUGCGCUCUUGCAAGAUAAGGCUCCUAGUUUUUCAAGUAGAGCUGUGGCUGCGACAGCGCCAGGAUGGCCGAGAUGAGCCCACUGCUACUUGCUACCAGCCAGAGGGGAGUCUAGGGGACGUAUCUCAAAGCUGCCAAAACCAUUUGUUUGGGCACCCUCCCUGCUUCUUUUCUGCUCAGCACUGGCUGCCAAUUUCCGCUUUCUCUCAGGGAAAUGGAAAGAUGCAUCUGGACGAGCUGAUGAGGCCCAAGACGCAAUGGAAGGACUGAGGUUUUGAAAUGCAACCUACCUUGAAUAUAGAGCCAUCUGGGUGCAAACCACUGUUCUCCUAGCCUUCUGGACAAACAAGCCUGUUUAAAGGUGAGUUGUAGGUUGUGAUAAAUGAUUUGUUUGAACCACAUUUCCCAGAGCAAACAAUUUUCCCAGGCCAUGUGAUGGGAGCCCAUUCUUUCUGAAUCUUUCAGCAUUCAAGUUCCCAUCAUUUCCUUGGAUGUCACAAGCCAGCAUACUCCAUCAAAUAAGAGAAACUUAAAGCUCUCCGUGGUCUUAAUUUCUUUAUUUUUCUAGUGUUCUUUAGCCUUCAAAAGUGAGACCAGGAAAAAAAAUCCUAUCAGUUCCACUGGUUAAUUACUUUCUCCUCCUCCUUCUACUUGUCUGUUUUUCUCACCUUCUCCACCUUUUCAUUCCCUUUCUGAUUGCAGUCUUCUUCCAUGACCUAAGAAAGAGGAGGCUAAAACUUUUGGCUACUUGAGUU